UCCUACGGGAGGCAGCAGUAGGGAAUCUUCCACAAUGGACGAAAGUCUGAUGCAGCAAUGCCGCGUGAGUGAAGAAGGUUUUCGGAUCGUAAAACUCUGUUGUGAGGGAAGAACAAGUACGAGAGUAACUGCUCGUACCUGACGUACCUCAUAAACGACCGUCG
rnacentral:rRNA from 1 species